GGCGCUGUAGUGUAGCGGUUAUCACUCAAGAUUCUGAUAAAACGAAUGAACCUCUGUGAGUUCUUGAAACCCAGGUUCGAUUCCUGGCAGUGCCU
rnacentral:tRNA from 1 species